UACGUAGGUGGCAAGCGUUGUCCGGAUUUACUGGGCGUAAAGAGCGCGCAGGCGGUCGUUCAAGUCGCGUGUGAAAGCCCCCGGCUCAACUGGGGAGGGUCACGCGAUACUGAUCGACUCGAAGGCAGGAGAGGGUAGUGGAAUUCCCGGUGUAGUGGUGAAAUGCGUAGAUAUCGGGGAGGAACACCAGUGGCGAAGGCGACUACCUGGCCUGUUUCUUGACGCUGAGGCGCGAAAGCUAGGGGAGCAAACAGG
rnacentral:rRNA from 1 species